ACUUAGUCAACAUGAGGUGCAGUUUAUCACAUGAUAUAUACUGUAAAAUGUUUUUUACUCUAAUAAUUGAGAGUCUCAGAGCCAUUUAUGAUCAUUGCGAUCUGGGAUAAGAGUAUAAUAUGAGUAAUAUCGCUAACGAUUUACAUGCAGGAGCUGUGAUAAGUCUGAUCCUGACGGAGCGUCUGGGAAUGGAUGGGUGGUGCUUUUCUCACACACGCUGAUGUGACUCAGGGUGACUUUGGCACAAUCAUACAGUGACAAGUGAGGACAAGAUGCUAACAGUAACCAGCGGGAUCCCACGAGAAGAGAAAAGAUUGAGUACUGCAUUUCCCUCUACAUGGGAGUCUGUCAGUCAACUCUGUCCCAUCUUCAACUGGUCCACAAUGCAUCUGCUCGGCUCCUGACCGGCACCAAAAACAGGAACAUCUCUUGUGUCUUCAGUGACCUUCCUUCACUGGCUGCCAGUCAGAGCUUUGAGAUCAUCUAAUCAGCUACUUUUAACCAUUCCUCGGAUUCAGAAGAAGUUCAGAGGAGACCAGGGCUUUUCUGUCACUGCUCCGAGAUUCAUAAAGACAUCUCCUACCCUGGACAUUUUUAAAUCCAAUCUAAAAAUGUUCCCAGGCUUUUGAAGGUCUGUAAGACUUUGGCUGCCACUCAUUGUCUUUUAAUGUGCUGUAUAAAUAAAGGUGACUUGACCUGAUGCCUAAAGCAUAGCGAAGCGCACCACAUGGCAUAGCAGAGAACUGUGAACUUUUUCACUGACCAUUCUGUUAACGCUGUCUGUUUCUCUGGCUAGAAAGUAGCAACACAACGCUAAAAAUGAACUAAAGCUAAACAGAACAGCUUCUCUUAACAUUUUACAGCAAUAAUAGGAUCAACUCGGCACUAAACUGUCUGCUGAAAGAGUCAACACCGCUAAACCAUCAAACGGCCAACUUUCCCUUUUCCAGCAUAUUUGUAUAACUGCGGGAUGAGCGCCAGCUCUCCAGUUUAGUUAUGCAAUAUUCCAUGUUAACAUUCCAGGAAGUAUCUCUUCUUACAGCCAGCUUAUUAAACAGCAAGGCUCUUUUGUUUUAUCAUGUUUCUGUCUCAACAUUGCUGAUAUUUUACACCAAAACUACAGACAACUAUGUGGAAUGCGGCGCUUAAGAAACAAACCUUCUGCACAGCACGUAUACAGUCGCUAACUUUCCCUGAAAAUGUCAUUUUAAACCAUUAAUUACAACCAAUGUACAGGAAUAAAUUGUGUAAUAUGAUCUAUCUUUAUAAAUUUACAUAAAUAUCCAACUUAUUUCACUAUACCACUAGCAGUAGCUAACUCAGCUAGCUGCUAUUUUACAAGCUAAACUAACUGCUAGUAAAUUAGCGACAAAUUAUAUUUGUCACAACUUGACCAGAGUGAGAUUUCAGAAUGUGUAUUGAUUAUUGAUUAAUCAUUUUCAGAAUGAUUUAUUUAACAGCAGCCACAUCUGUCAAAAUAUAAUAUUACCAUAGCAACCAUGAUUUUGUUUAGCGCUGUAACUAGCUAGGUUUACUAGCUAGCCAGCUUAGCGUGAAGGUUUCUGGAUGCCACAUCAUCGUCCUCUGAUCUCAGACGUAAUCGAAGCUUAUUUUGUGACAUGAUACAUUGAGCUCGGAUGAAGCUCCGCCCCCAAAUCAGUUCCUACACCAGCAAUGAGAAAGUUUAAAUUGGUUUUAGAAAUGGAAAAAUGCAACUUUUGACCCAAACACGUAAAUCUAUAUAGAUCAUUCCAUGACUGUGGUACUAUUUCUCUCUCACAGAUAUUACGUUUAUAAAGCUGUAUGUAAAGUAAAGGUUAAAAGGUUAUGUUUAAAUACAGGUUUCCUUCACAGUAACCUACGUGCAUGUUUCAGAUAAAUAACUUAAAUCAUUAACUUCACGUCUCCUUGAAAUGAUCAAAAUACUUCUGAAAACGUUUUAUUUUUGUAACAUCUCAUGCUUUUCAACCUUUUCCAAGAGCUGUCCACUACAAGUUAUGAAAAACUUCCCCAAGUCACAUGUUCAACACAAUGUUGCAUCAUCAGAAUUUCCUGAAGAUCAUGGGAAGAAGAAAAGUAAGUUCUCUUAUUCUUUCUGUGAUAUUGUGACGUACAACCUUGUUAACCAAAUAAUAAACUGAAAGUAAAUUAUUCAUUUAUGAAAAUAACAUUGUAAGUAAAUCAUUACAAUAUCCUUAACGUCGUCAUGCUAUUAGCAUGGAUGCUAGUUAACUACAUUUUUGUGUAUUUACUAAUUCUAUGCUAAAGUCAUACCUGCUAUUCGUUUAAGAGCAAAAUGCAGAGAGAACCCUUGUUUAAAGAAAAGACUGUUGCUUGAACUAUGUGUAAAUAGUUAAACGCAUGUUUUCUUGGAUUCAACGUUUAAAACGAUAAAAAAAUAAAAUAAAAAUGAAUUUAAUAAGGUGACGUUUACUUCAUGCUCAGGGGAGAUUUGUGUUCUCUGUGAUUACCGUGUAAAUUUAACACCACGUAUGUGAAACAUGUGGGACAGUCGCAUACUUUCAAAAACAAAUGACAUGUCCUUUAAUCUUUCAUCUUAAAAGUCACCCUGCUGUUUUAGCAGUGAGAAAAAGAAAUGGCACCCGUCAGAGCAAAAACAAAAGCUUUGAAGUUUCUACUGUUAAGUCGAGAACAAGUCGAUUAACUGACGUGUGAAUGAAGACGAACAGACUCAUUUCAAUAAAACCUAAAGAUCAGCACUCAUUUUAGUGAUUCAAAUCCAGGACGUAUUAAAAUGUCCUGUGUUUUUUUUUUUUUCUUUCACAAGGAGCACGUCUUCCAGUUUAGUUUUCCGAGAAGUCAUGAGCCUCAUGUCACUUAUGCUACCUAUUUAAAACCACAGUGAGGAAUUUCCGGAUUAAAAAAAUGCAGCAUCUGCAUUGUCAUCUGCUUUCUUAAAAAAAAAAAAAAAAAAAAUUUCUAUAUUUAUAUAAUUACGCUGCUGAAAUCCAGAUAAAUGCAGCAAUCAGAGACCAAAAGGAACUCAUUAGAAAGUAAAUGAAUCAAGAUUUUUCUGCUGUUUCCACUCAUGUGAGAAUAGCUCUUGGAAUAAAGAGUCGGAAAAAACAAUUAUUAGUAAUGAAACCAGAAUUUGAAUUGUGGAAAAAAAAGAAAAAUGUCGUUGUUGUUGGUCUUGUUGUUAUUGGUAUGUGAAAUCAUGCGUUGAACAAAACAAAUCUGAGUUUCCAGUAACUCUCACGUUUCCUUCUGACGGCUCUCAUGGCUCUCUGUUAUUCCUUAUAUUUAUUAUUCCAGGCUACAUGAGAUGAGAUUGCACUCUGGUAACCUUGAGGCAAGUGUGCGUGUGUGUGUGUUCCUGUGUGUUUUAGGGAUAAUGAAAAACACCCAUCACACACACACACACACA